rnacentral:rRNA from 1 species
UACGGAGGGUGCAAGCGUUGUCCGGAAUCACUGGGCGUAAAGGGCGCGUAGGCGGCUCAUGAAGGCUGUGGUGAAAGUCCGGGGCUCAACCUCGGAUCGGCCGUGGCGACUCGUGGGCUGGAGCACUGUAGAGGCGGGUGGAAUUCCGGGUGUAGCGGUGGAAUGCGUAGAGAUCCGGAAGAACACCAGUGGCGAAGGCGGCCCGCUGGGCAGUGGCUGACGCUGAGGCGCGACAGCGUGGGGGAGCAAAACAGG